UUGCCUGUUUCUAUAUAGAUUAUUAUCCCACAAAUGAGAAGUUAAUUUUGGUGCUACUAAAAUAACUGAUGCUUUUGACGUCUUCACCUUGCAACAUUAUGCAGUUAAUUUUUGCCGUAACAAUGGGAGGCAAUGGGAAAUUAAUUAAUUUGGAUGCAACCAGAACAACAAACUAUCUGCAGUAGUAUUCCUCCUAGAUUUGUUUAAUUUGCUCAUCACACUGGUAGACUUUAGAACGUCACUUUCUACAAUUAAUUAAGGUUAUACAAUAAAUGAGAGAGAAUUAAUGUUCAGUUUGGUUAUACUGAAACAGCCCAUUUCUAUUACGUGUUGUCUUUCCUGGAUGGAUUAAAUUUUUGAUUUGCUGUUUCCCCUUCGCUUCAGUAGACAACUUUAAAGAACGUUUCAGAAAUGGCAGAAGCAGAAUUAAUGUGGAACAGAUCCUUCAUUAGUGUACAUGUUACUGAUUUAUACUGAUUUGUUCGAUUUAAAAAUGGUAGUUAAUUACUUUUCUUGCCUGUUUCUAUAUAGAUUAUUAUCCCACAAAUGAGAAGUUAAUUUUGGUGCUACUAAAAUAACUGAUGCUUUUGACGUCUUCACCUUGCAACGUUAUGCAGUUAAUUUUUGCCGUAACAAUGGGAGGCAAUGGGAAAUUAAUUAAUUUGGAUGCAACCAGAACAACAAACUAUCUGCAGUAGUAUUCCUCCUAGAUUUGGUUAAUUUGCUCAUCACACUGGUAGACUUUAGAACGCCACUUUCUACAAUUAAUUAAGGUUAUACAAUAAAUGAGAGAGAAUUAAUGUUCAGUUUGAUUA